rnacentral:lncRNA from 1 species
AUCCCUGGAGGCAUUCAAGGCCACGCUGGAUGUGGUUCUGGGCAGCCUGGUCUGGAGGUUGGCAACCCUGCACAUAGCAGGGAGGUUGAAAGUCAAUGAUCAUUGUGGUCCUUUUCAACCAAGCCCAUUCUACGAUUCUAUGCACUAGAUUAGGCUGGCCAUGGUUCCUAUCCAACCUAGCCUCUUUUUAUGCCUUACAACUUAGCCACUUUGUACGUCUCUUUUCAGAAAGAAAACAAAGAUAUACCGAUUCAGACUACUUUAACACUUCCAUGCAAAUGCACUCUUCUAAUAUUUUUUAAAUGGAUCUUUUUGUUUUGUUUUUGCUCUGAGAAUUCUUCCUUCCACUCUAACACAUUGGUAAAAUGAAAGGCUGUCUAGUACUGCAUUAAUGGGUAUCAUUCAUGCCAGUUCACUAGUAUGGAUGGAUACUAUACUCCCUGAAAUGAAUGGUCAUUAGAUAUUUCCUCAGAAAUCUUCAUUUUUUCACAGAGUUAUUCAAGUAAUUUAUUUUUUACCAAGUCAGCAGCUAUAUAUCUGCUGAUGGAAAGAGAAUCCAUGUUCUGGAAAAGAAAACAUGUGUGCAGCGAUUUUUUCAAGAUUUUGGUCACAAGCCCAAGAUCACUCAGAUUUGUAUUCACAGUCCCUGGUCUUCAUGUGGGAAUUCAACCACCCCAAUAUCUGUUGGAGAGGCAACAAAGCAAGGCAUGAGCAAUCCAGGAGGUUCCUAGAGUGUGUUGCAGAAUCACAGAACCACAGAAUCACAGAGAUCGAAAGGAACCUCAAGAGAUCAUCAAGUCCAACCUGCUGCAACAGGUCAAGCUCUCAAAAUAUGGAACACGACACUAUUUGCUGUUCAUGCACUCAGUCUCUGAGCAGCCCAGGGAACAAAUGCUGACUUGCCUGACCUGGAGAGUGAAAAAUGAAGAUGGAUCAAUUAAGAUAGCUAGACAGCUUGUGAUGCUUAUCAAUAAAAUACUGGCAGAUCUCUACUACAUGUAUGGAGAAAGACAUUUCAAAGGUUAAGAACAAAGCCAGUUUGGAUAGAUGCAUAGGCUGGGGAUUGUAAAAAUACAUAGUCAUUUGUUAAGAUUUUUCUUAUUAUGCAGUUGUCUUGUUUUUUUUCCUUGGAAUUCUCUGACAAUUUGUGCACAAUAAAGAAUUCUUUGGUUUGUUAUUCUCAGUGGGUAGAGUCUGAAAUUUGCUCUAUUUUGGAGGACUGAGAUGGCAAGUAAAUGACUGCUAUUAAAACAAAUAUCUGGAGACCAAAAAACAACUUUUUAAUCAUGUUUUUUGAUUCCUCUUGUCUGUUUUUCUAGAUUGUAAAUUAUUUAUUCACAUCCAUUUCUACUAUAUAUAAAUCUGAAUCUUCUCUGCCCUGUGUCUGAACUAUAGAUUUAUCAUAACGUUUAUUUUUGACCCUUAGCACGCUUGUAUACAAAAUUAUGUAGACAUUGCCUGAUUUUGUAUUAUGUAUUAAAACCAGCAAAAUGUGCUAAUUUCUCUAGG